ACUCUGCUUGUUUAAUAUUGUGGUUCACAGCUUAUUUGCAUUUUUAUGUGUAGUUUUACCUUGUUCUUUUACACUGCUGCUUAUAUUAAUGUCCGUGAAUCAAUAUCUCAGGAAGUAGGCUAAAUUAGUGAUUAAGGGUUCAAAUCCUAUAGCUAGUCAGGUCUUGGUGUCUACCAUUUACUUAUUACAGGGAUUCUUUUCUAUGUGUUGCAGUAUUUUGCAUGCAUAUAUGAACACACACUGGCAGAAGAGGGGGACAGAUCCCCUGGAUGGAGUUAGGAACGGGAGAAAAGUUUUAGAGGAGGAGACUGGAAGAGCGGGCAGCUGAGAGAACAUGGAGGUGGAUGUUAAGAUUCCUUUCUGCACAUUUACAGGGGGAAGGAAUGACUAGCAUAAUAUGGCCCAUGUGUGGGGGUCUGAAGACACUUAGCAGGAGUUGAUUCUUCUCUACCACGUGAGUCCCAGAGACUGAACUUCCACCAUCAGAUUGGCUGUCUAGAAGACUCAAGACCGGUUUGAAGAUGAAAAUGAGUUCACGAACCCAACUUUCUCUAAAUCUCAAGUUCCAAGCCUGUUACCACUUUCUCUAUCCCCAAGAAUUCGAAUUUGGAUAUUUCUCUGUUUGACAUCGUGCAUUAAGGUGUGGACGUGGAGGUGCUUGCCUCAGGUGUGGACGUGGAGGAGCCGGAAGCACCUGCGUGCCCCAGCUGCUCCGGGAAGUUCUGUUUGGCUCGGGGAAUCUGGAGUAGCAGCCAAAGGCGCCUCGGAAAUGAACAGGCUGUUUUCUGAAAAUGGGACAUUUGGUGUCUUGAAAGGCAGCACGUCCCCAGUUCCCCACAUGGUACAGCGACUUUUAAAGGGAGCAAGAUUGCAAAGUUGCUCAGUGCUGAAUGAAAGGCUCAGAGGCGAGGGGCAUGCUGUAAUGCCAACCAAAGUCCAGGUGGAUGGACACAAAUCCUUUCCGCUUAGGAUCUCAAAGCACCGUUCCUGGCAUUACGGUCUGUCUCCGACAGUUUGACCAACAAGGUUUCACCAAGAGAUCCAGCAGGCAUGCUGCAAGGCAGAAACAGAUGUGCAGUUCAUAAAGAGCCGUGGAAUUUUAAAAGCCCAAGAGAUCAUCAAGAUCACCUCAUUCAACCUUCCUGACAGAAAAGGAGAAGUGGGCUGGAGAGAUGGCUCCGCAGCUCAGAAGAAAUUAUUCAGGCGGGAUCCAUAUCUCAGAAGAUAAGAGUUCUUUCUGGGAUCUCAUCCUUUGAAUGAAGACUCUUCAGCCCCAGGCAUGAAGUCAGGACCUUUAGAGCUGUAUCCCUAGCCUGAAUCUAGACUUUCUGAAUGGCCUACGAUGUGUCUUUUACUCAUAGCUUGUAUCCCCUCUCUUCUGAUCCUCAAAGCAGCCCUUGCAUUAUUUUCUAGUGUUUUAUAUUUAUUAAUUUGUACUUUAGGGAAAUUACAUUUUGGAUUUCGAGGUAUCUGUCUUGUUCUCUGAUGUCUAAAAAAGGGGCAGCCUGAGGCAGCUAAGAAGUAUUUGCUGUAAUCUCAGCACUGAGGAGACUGGGGCAUAAGGAUUAUGAAUUAGAAACUGGUGUGAGCCUUAGAUUGGAAACCCUGCAACAAAAACCAAGCCAGACCAACCUCACAGAGACCAAAACAAAAUAAAAUGGUGCCUGAUGAUGUGUAA